AGCAGUCUGGGAGUGCAAUACAUGCUGAUUUUCUCAAAGUCAGAUGAUGGCAGACUGACCAGGGACACAAAUUUAGUGUCUCUCCUGUGAAUACAAGUGAUUCUAUAGGCAAGAACUUGCCUAUCAGCCACAGAAUAGAGACUAGCUCUUGAGAGUCAAGAGCCCUUUCCCUUUGCUACUCUAACUGAGGAGCCAGAUCCCGAGGGAGCAGUACUGAUCUGGGAGUGAGGCCUACCUGGGCUUCAGAAGUCAAUCAUCAAUUGAGUUGCUGGAGACUUCAGUCUCAGACAUCCUCCGCUGUGCUGUCUCCUUGAGACUGCG